GAUGAUUUCUGCUCUGUAUAUGAUAAUAUCUCCAUUUUCUCUGCUAAAUGAGACUGGAAGAGGAGCUUCAAAUGAUUCAUAAAUCUUCGCACGCCGUUUAGGCGCUUGAAACACGGCUUCAGUCAUGGAGGACAGUGAAAGUGAAUGUGGAUGGUGGCUGCUGAGGUUCAAAAAUGACUUCUUUACCUACUCCAUGGUCCCAAAAGAAAGAAAGUCAAAUGGAUUUGGAACUACAUGAAGUGAAAAAAAGGCUCUUAAAAUGUUCUUACUCCAGACAUUUUGCCAUUACAAAUGGCAUUCAUGUGGUAACCAUUUAGACCAGUUAUAUUUAUGAAUCAGUGUCACUAAAAAAAGUUGUCAAUGUCAAGUUGUCAAAAGAUUUCACGAAAGCAAAAGCACAUUCAUAUAAUUUUUGACGGCGAUUACAAAAUCGAUUUGCAAAAACUAAAAUGGACUUUACUACACAAAUGCAAUCGGUUCGCAUUUAUGAGUGGAUUACCGCUCCAUCUUCAGUGUAAUUAUUGCUGAUGGCUCAUAUCAGGUCUGUGUACACAAUUUUCCACCCAUUCAAAAACACUCGAAGAUUUAACAAAGGUAUAUCAGCUGUAGGCUGAUUUUAAAUGAAAAAUGUAAAAAUAAAAUAAAAAGAAGAAU